AGAGGGUGCAAGCGUUAAUCGGAAUUACUGGGCGUAAAGCGCACGUAGGCGGAUACUUUAGUCGGAUGUGAAAGCCCUGGGCUCAACCUGGGAACUGCAUUCGAUACUGGGUGUCUAGAGUAUGAUAGAGGAAAGUGGAAUUCCCGGUGUAGCGGUGAAAUGCGUAGAUAUCGGGAGGAACAUCAGUGGCGAAGGCGGCUUUCUGGAUCAAUACUGACGCUGAGGUGCGAAAGCGUGGGGGAGCAAACAGGAUUAGAUACCCUGGUAGUCCACGCCGUAAACGAUGAGAACUAGGCGUUGGGGGGGCUUGACCCUUUAGUGCCGAAGCUAACGCGAUAAGUUCUCCGCCUGGGGAGUACGGCCGCAAGGCUA
rnacentral:rRNA from 1 species